rnacentral:rRNA from 1 species
AACGAACGCUGGCGGCAUGCCUAACACAUGCAAGUCGAACGAGAUCUUCGGGUCUAGUGGCCCACGGGUGCGUAACGCGUGGGAAUCUGCCCCUUGGUUCGGAAUAACAGUUGGAAACGACUGCUAAUACCGGAUGAUGACGAAAGUCUAAAGAUUUAUCGCCAGAGGAUGAGCCCGCGUAGGAUUAGCUAGUUGGUGUAGUAAAGGCGAACCAAGGCGACGAUCCUUAGCUGGUCUGAGAGAAUGGUCAGCCACACUGGGACUGAGACACGGCCCAGACUCCUACGGGAGGCAGCAGUGGGGAAUAUUGGACAAUGGGCGAAAGCCUGAUCCAGCAGUGCCGCGUGAGUGAUGAGGGCCUUAGGGUUGUAAAGCUCUUUUACCCGGGAUGAUAAUGACAGUACCGGGAGAAUAAGCUCCGGCUAACUCCGUGCCAGCCGCCGCAGUAA